rnacentral:misc_RNA from 1 species
AAGUCGUAACAAGGUUUCCGUAGGUUAACACGUAUCCAACGUUAAACACCCUGUGAACCUCUGUCCAUCAGGCUACAAUCGAGCUAGGAGCAGUGGCAUGGUUUCCCUAAGCAGUGCAGAAGGAUCCACUGAGUAAGGAUAACGCCUCACGGUUGCCAGAGGUCGAUCACCGGCCGGCAGACAUGUCACAGGGCUAUAUGCCCCCUCAUUCACACCUUGCCCUAUCUGGCCCCACGGAAACGUUGGGGCACAAACCGAACAACUGUUAACAAUGGAUAUCUUGGUUCUC